rnacentral:sRNA from 1 species
GUAACAGAAGAAGGAAAGGAAAAGAAAGUCAACAUUGACUUUGAACCUUUCAAACCAAUUAAUACGUCAUUGUAUUUGUGUGACAACAAAUUCCAUACAGAGGCUCUUACAGCACUACUUUCAGAUGAUAGCAAGUUUGGAUUCAUUGUAAUAGAUGGUAGUGGUGCACUUUUUGGCACACUCCAAGGAAACACAAGAGAAGUCCUGCACAAAUUCACUGUGGAUCUCCCAAAGAAACACGGUAGAGGAGGUCAGUCAGCCUUGCGUUUUGCCCGUUUAAGAAUGGAAAAGCGACAUAACUAUGUUCGGAAAGUAGCAGAGACUGCUGUGCAGCUGUUUAUUUCUGGGGACAAAGUGAAUGUGGCUGGUCUAGUUUUAGCUGGAUCCGCUGACUUUAAAACUGAACUAAGUCAAUCUGAUAUGUUUGAUCAGAGGUUACAAUCAAAAGUUUUAAAAUUAGUUGAUAUAUCCUAUGGUGGUGAAAAUGGAUUCAACCAAGCUAUUGAGUUAUCUACUGAAGUCCUCUCCAACGUGAAAUUCAUUCAAGAGAAGAAAUUAAUAGGUAUCGGUGAAAUGCAACUACAUAUUCUGUGAAAUGUUUUCGUGUGUGUGUGUGUAUGUAUGUAUGUACUUGAUUGUAUGUAUGAGACAAGGUACCAAAAAUGUAAAAAGGAAUAUUUAGUAUUUUUAUUAACUCUUUUGCCUCAGUAAAAGCAUUAUUUUUUAUCUUCUUUAGUCAUUAGGUUGAAUAGGUGUGUUUGUGUCUACUAGGGAAACUUUAAUAUAUAUCCUAUUGACUGAUCCCUAAUCAUAGGACGAUACUUUGAUGAAAUCAGCCAGGACACGGGCAAGUACUGUUUUGGCGUUGAAGAUACACUAAAGGCUUUGGAAAUGGGAGCUGUAGAAAUUCU